AUAAAAACCUAAACACGAUAACGC
rnacentral:siRNA from 1 species